rnacentral:tRNA from 1 species
GGCACGAUAGCUUAGGGGUUGAGCAGAGGGCCCAUAGGCCUAAGGUCGGGAUUUCAAAUCUCCCUCUUGCUACCA